UACGUAGGGUGCAAGCGUUAAUCGGAAUUACUGGGCGUAAAGCGUGCGCAGGCGGUGAUGUAAGACAGAUGUGAAAUCCCCGGGCUCAACCUGGGAACUGCAUUUGUGACUGCAUCGCUAGAGUACGGCAGAGGGGGAUGGAAUUCCGCGUGUAGCAGUGAAAUGCGUAGAUAUGCGGAGGAACACCGAUGGCGAAGGCAAUCCCCUGGGCCUGCACUGACGCUCAUGCACGAAAGCGUGGGGAGCAGACAGG
rnacentral:rRNA from 1 species